rnacentral:tRNA from 9 species
GCCAGCAUGGCUCAGUGGUAGAGCAACGCACUUGUAAUGCGUAGGUCGUCGGUUCAAAUCCGACUGCUGGCU